rnacentral:rRNA from 1 species
UACCUGCAACAAAAGAUGACCAAAACUCAAGCACAGAGGCAAAAAAUUACCAUGAGCAGGGAGCAGUUCAUGAUGGUUGUUCCUCGUUGGUGCUAUGGAAGGCAUGACGGAUGGGCGUGUUUGGUGGAUAGGUGGGUCGGUGACGAUCCAGAGUUUGUUGCCAAGAGCAUCAAGGCCCGGGCUAACCGUGGAAAAGACGGGACACAAGGCCAAGGAAACAGGAACCACUGGGGCUUCAAGGACAUGAAGGAGGACAAGUUGCAGAGGCCGCUCUCAGACAUUGAGUCGUGGAAGCUGGCCCGCGAGCGGAGUGAUCGCAAG